rnacentral:lncRNA from 1 species
GAGAGAUCAAGUGAAACCAAUUUUGACAGGUGGGAGACUUGGGAUGGGACUUCUCCUGCAAACCCUGUAUAAGAAAGGUUGAGGUAGAAUAGGCUUGUAAACCGACCGAACUCGGAUGGAAUUUUGGAAAGAUUAAAAUCAUUGUAGGCAAGGUUGAGUUUUUGAAGGUGAGGAAGAAGGAAGAGAGUGGUAUUGGAAGGGAAGUUGCCAUAUAGCCAACUGCAGCUCAAAUCAAGGGCAAUAACAUGAGCAUUUAGGUGGUCACAAGUGACCCCAUCCCAUGAGCAGCAAUCUGUACCCUCCUUCCAUGAAUUUGUCAUGGGGUAAGAUUUAAGGCCAGCAAUCCCAUCGCAAUAUAAAGUAGGAAGCAUUGUCUGAGUAAUGGAAAAAGAAUUCUUGAACUGGAUUAGUGAAGCAGCUUCAGGGUGAGAGCAGGAGUGAGAUCCUGAAGAAGCAGCAUAAAGAUGGGGAAAGAAGAGGAAUAGGCAGAGAAAGAGGUAGGAGGCCAUGUUAUGUUUAUAGAGGAAGAUGAAGGAUAGGAAUGGUACUUAUAGGCAACAAAUAAUACCACAACAUUGUAGUCUUCUUUUUACCAUAUAUUUUCCAUUCUUAAAAUUUGAUGUUUUUCUUUUAGCAAAAUAUUGUAUUUCAUUUGAAGUCCUAAACAACUAAAAAAAUUAAGAUUGAUGAGAUUACAAAGUAGAUUGACUUAGUCUUCUUUCCUAUAACACUUAAAGAAUGUCUUGUCAACCAAAGUUAAUUAAUGUGAAAAUUCUUUUUUACACAAAAGAACAAAAUUGUGCUCUAUUCACUACGUUAGAGGAAGAAGACUGCUAGAUUUUUUAAUUAUUUUUUCUUUGAAAAAUUUGAGAGUUUUUUACUGCCAUAAGCCAAUAAAAAAAAACAUGUAUUAAUUUUAUUUUUAAAAAUUGUGUGUUUGAUUGUGAAAUAAUUCAUCGUCCUCCACCACAAACUAUCCAUGUUUGCUGUGUGAAAGCAGGUACUUCCAUAAAGAAAUUACUAAGGAGAUGGGAUUCACCAAUUUUACCUAAACUCGCAUCAACAUUGUUUAGUGCUCCCUCAAUUUCACAUCAAUGCAUUCAAUUUCAAAAUAGGUUACCAAGACUACAAUAUCUAUUCACUUGGUCUUGCUUCCUAUCACUGUCAACCAAACUUGAUCGACUAGCAGUAGGGAAAUUUCAGUCAUUUGCAGUAUAAUGUACAAGAAUUACACUCCCACAAAAUAAUUUACAAUAUGGACUAACACUCCUUUGUUUCACUAAAAAUAAUUUUUAAAAAACGAUUUUUAGAAAGUAAUUUUUGAAAAAUGGUUAAAAGAUAAUUUUUGUUUCUGAAAUAGUUAAUUUUUUUUGGUGUUUAGAUAAAUUUGUGUAAAAUAUUUUUUGAUGUUUAAAAAAAUUCGAGAAAAUAUUUCAUAAAAGUUGUCUUUAAUGAAAUCAACAUAUAUUUGAAAUUUUGUUAUGUUUUCAUUGUUUACUUAAGUUUAUUUCAUAAAGCCUAUUUAUAUUUUAAUUAAUCAUAUUUUAGUUUUAAUUAAUUUUAAUUUACUUAAUUAAGCUUAAUUGUUAAUUUCGUACAUUAGAAUAUAAAUUUAUGUUUAAUUAAGUUGAAAGUGAUAAAUAUUUAUUUUGAAUAUUAUUUGGAUAAGUUGAAAAUGAUUUAAUUUGAUAAAAUUGAAGUCAGGGCCAUAGAACUAUGAUUUUUACUGACAAAAUCUUGGAUGCAGAGAUCAUUGAGACUAAAAAAUGAAAGUCAUGAAAGAAGACAUAAAUAGUUGAACCAUACAAAAUGUUACAUUUAAAACAAACCCUUACAAAUACUACCUAAUGCAAUGAAAUAUAGAUGAAUUGUUACAAUAACAAAGACAGAUGCAUGGCAAUGCAACCUUUCACCAUGGGAAAAAAUUUGACGGACUUCAAAACAAGAAAUUAUGAAGAUACAACGUACACACUUGAACAUCAUUUCCACGAACUAGAUCCUUCUUUGUCCAUUGCUGCGACUGCCAUCCUUUGACUUUCUUCUUCGCUUCUUCUCAUGUUGGAUUUCAACCAAAUUCACCAACCAUUUUGGCUUACCAAUUUGGAAAACAACAUAUCCCAUGACCAUUCCAAACACUACUCCGCAUCCAAAACCUAUCAACACCAAUUUCCAACCAAAAGAGAUGUUUGAUUUUGAACCAUCAUUUUCAAGCACAUUUGGAGGUGGUGGCUCAAUGAUUUGCAUCCUUUUGAGACCGGAAAUCCACAUAAUCCCUAGUUUCCUUCAUAUGAAUCAUUUCCAUAUGUGUUGAACUGUUUGCCUUGAGGAAUCUGACCAUGGAGUUGAUUUUCAGAAACAUUGAAGGACGAAAGAAAUGCCAAAUCUGCAAAUCUAUUUGGAAUUGUCCCAGACAACCUGUUUGAAGAUAGGUCCAACCAUUCAAGACUUGUCAAAUUCAUACCACAAUUAUAAACACUGUCAUAUGACAUGAAUAACAUACCCACAUAUUUACUGUCACAUGGCAUGAAAAACACACCCUCAUAUUCACUUUCACAUCAGUCAUCAUAAGCUUAUAACAUAUGUCAUAGCAAUCUAAUAUAUGUUCAUAAUUUCACAAUUUCACAAGCGUACAUGUAUCACAUUUAAUCAUAUGCACGAGAAAACUUACUCACUUACUCUCGAAAUUUAGUGUAGGGGCUUAGGCUACCAUUAAAUUCUCAAUUACACAAUGAAUCAUCUACGAGCAAUGAUUCCAAAACACUCAUAGAUAUCAACUUUAGCCAAAAAUCGAGAGCUUGAACUAGCUCUUCCUCUAACUCGUAGAAGGCUCUAAUGAAUCCGAGGCUUCACACAUGACAAUCACACAAUACCCACAGUCAAAUGACAGCCAAGCACCCACUUAAACUAACCAAAACACAAGCCUAAGCUACCUUCUCAUGUAACCAAACACUUUAGCAUGACGAACUUAAAAUGCAAAUAUAUCGAUCUACACUUAACAUUUUUGCAUGAAACAAGUUUCAAUCAUCCCCAUAUUUAUCUAUAAUUAAACUCAUACAAAACUGAACGUUUUAAGGUAUCGAUAUUUUUCAACAUGUUUGGCCAUAAUAAUGAAAAUUCAUUAAAAGGCGAGAAAUUGUUAAUGAAACUUGUAAGUAAUUUUAGAAACUUUCUAAUCAAGUUAAAACAAGUUGAAAAACACUUUCAAAUCACAUUUUUAUCCACAAUCUCAAAUUCCACUAUUAAUGAUCCAAUUUUUGAGUUUUAAUUAAAACAUGCAAUUUCAUAACUAAAAAACUCAAUUUUAAAGUCUAAAUAACUUUAAAAAUUAAUGGUAAAGUAAAUGGUUACAUUUGAUGGAAGAUUAAACGAGUUUUGACUAAAUUUGAAAAACCCACUAUUGAAGAUGAUGAUGAAAUCUCUGGAGUUUUUGAGUGUUUUUCCUGGAGAAUUAUGAAGGUAAUUGACUUGGGAAUUAUAAGAAAUCAAAGUAUUAUUGUUUGGGAAUAAAAAAUCAAUUGAAAGAUAAAGGGAAUAGCAAAGGACGGCAAUAGCAAACUUUGGAGAGUAACCAUCGUGAAAUAGAACUGGGAUUGGGGUUUAUUAGGUUCAAUUUUAAAAAUUGGUAAAACUGCAAUAUAAGUGCUCACUAUUUUAACUUUGUUACAAAUUAUUCCCUUUUUUUUUUUUCUAAAAUUUAGGAAUUUAAAACUUAUUUUCAGAAAUUGACUCAAUUCCCUAAUGGCCAUUGUCGAAAACAUUGUCGAAUACCAAGCUUACGAAAUUUUGAGCACAUAUAGGCUAAAAUUCCUAAAAUACACUCGAAAUUCUUCGACCCUAUUUUGGGGUGUUACACACAUGGUCAUGAUUCGUGUUGAAUUAAUCCAUCAUUCACCGUAAUAAGACUUGUCGUUGUAAUAAUUUAUUUUGAUAUGUAUUAUUUUAUGAUGCAUAAACAUCAUAAAUUUUUAUAUUAUGAAAUAAUAUAAUUAGUUAAAUCAUCUAAUAUCUAAAAAAUAAUUAUUAUUUUAAUAAAAUCAUUCAUCAAAUUUUUGUUUUCAAAUUUCAUACAUGAAAUUAACAAAUAAAGAUAGCUCUAAAUAGCAAAACAUGGUAGGAUGGUUUUUUUGUGCAAACUUAGGAUUUCAAUUCUCAUCAAGGAACUUGCAAGCCUAUUAUAGUAGAAAUGUUUUAUCCAAACGAUAAAGAUGUUGAUGCAACAUUUUAGAUUGCAAAUUCCUUGCUCACAUUUGGAAUCCUAACCACAGGGACUUGCAAGCCUAUUAGCUCCAGGAACUUUAGAUUGUACUUGCAAAUUCCUUGCUCACAUUUGGAAUUCUAUUCUGGUUCAUCUCAUUGAAUACAUCAAAUGGAGGAUCAAUACGCUGAAAACGGAUCAAAUCCCUUGCAAUGUUGUUUGGAUCACAACAGCUCAUCUUUCAAUCCUAGAUGGCUCCGCCAAUUUCUUGAAAGCAUACAUAAACUGUUAAAGAAAUAAAUGGAUAAAACAACUACAGGAUAGAAGGCUGAAAAUUUACGAAGGGCAAUGACCUUAAUGUUAAAAUUCCAACGUCCAUUCCUUGGAAAGAUAUCUUCACCAUUGCCCACUCAAGAGAACUCAAAUAGCAGCAAGAUCUAGAAUAAAAUGUAACCCUCAACAACACACAAAUGUUUGUUCUGUCAAGGAACAAUACACAGACAUAUUCACCUACCGUUGGUGCUGGCAGAAUAUGCCCAUUCACUUGGGUGAAAUUAGAGUUGAUAUUAACCCCACAAGAUUUCUGCACCAUAAUUACUGCUAAGUAAAACCUGCACAUAAAUUUUCAUUCUUCACUAGAAACUGAAACUAUUUUUGUAAGUAAAAAUUAGUUGUAUUCAUUCUUCGCAUAAUUGAUCUUUUGUUGUGGAAGUAUUGUAUUUCCGGUAAUCCAUUAAGUAUUCAGUGUUUGAUACAAUAGAUUUGCAUUUUACUAUUGUAUUUUGUGGAAGGAACCUUUACCUAUUUUGUUUUUUGCAUUUCUGAUUAGUUUACAUUUUUCAGUAAUUAAUUUAUGUUGUUUUUGCCAAACUUUGUAGCGUUUCACUUUUGGUAAAAUUUCACCCUUGGUCCCUUUAAACUCCUUCUUGCUUUAAUUUGAUUGCUUUCUAGCGUUGCAAAUUACAUAACAUUCUUCAAAUGUCUUACUAAAUUCUCACUUUUACGAGUGCUAUGAUAAUCAAUUAAAAUUCAAUUCAGUUUUAAGUUCAAUAUAACACUUACAUGGCUACAAAAUGUGUCCUUAACCCCAAACAAUCCAAAUUUGCAGAGAAACCACCCAUUAUAUAUAGGUUUGCCAAUGAGACGGCAAGCAGACUGCUAGCUAGAAAUUCAUGCAUCUUUGAAUCACCAAUUCAAUUAAUAAGCUUAAGUAAAGGAAAUAAGGACUUUACAUCCUCCAAUUAAAGCAACCUAUAUGUACCCUUUUACAGUCUGCAUUGUUCCAUGUUUCAAUUCAUUACAUCAUUCCUUCAACUCUGCUAUAUAUUAUUACCGUCUCCAGAUAACCAAACCUUUUACUGCUAACUUGUAAAAAAAAUUAUGAAAAUACAACAGAGAUCAUUGACACAUUGUUGAAGUUGGCUUGCAGGCAGACCAAGAAGCAGACCAAGCUGUCCGAGCCAUGCAAGCUGCAGCUGAAGCUUAUGCUGCCGUUUUGCUACUUUCAAAUAGAUAUUUUAUUACUUAGUUAGAUAUGAACUAAGUUGUUGAUAUGCCUGAUGUAAUUAGGUGCUGAUAGAUUGAUAAAUCAGCUUUACCAAGUGUACCAAGUUACUAAGCCACAUAGUGGAGUUAGGUAUGUGUUUAGGUAACAUUUUCUUAUUUUUGACCAGCUGAUUGCUUGGUAUAUGUAAUGGCAGUGUGCCUUCAUUCAAACAUAAUGAAAUCUUUCAGAAAAAUCUUCUUCAUUUGGUCUUUACUUAAGCAUUUUUAUUCACAAAGCUCUUGCUGUUUUUGUUUUGUUUGUUGAGCAAGAUAUCAAUGCUUUAUGCUUAAGUUUCUGUCAAAAUUUCUCAUUCUGUUUUCUUAGUUCCUACAGUCAUUUUGUUCUCCUUUCUCCUUUACUGAGCAGUAGCAAAGAUUAUUGAGACUAAAUUGAAAUCCAUGAAAGAAGACAUUAACAACACCACCAUACAAAAUGUCACACUCAAACAAACCAUUACUGAUAGUACGAAAUGCAAUGAAAGACAGAGGAAUUGGUACAAUAAUAAAGACAGACACAUACCAAUGCAACCCUUCACCAUAGGCAAAACGGUCUACAGAACAAGAAAUUAUAAAAAUACAACACUAAUUCUUGAACAUCAUUUGCAGUAAUUAGAUCCUUCUUCGUCUACUGCUGCGAUUGCCUUUCUUUGACUUUCUUCUUCGCCUCUUCUCAUGUUGGUUUUCAACCAAAUUCACCAACCAUUUUGGCUUUCCAGUUUGGAAAACAACAUAUCCCACGAACAUUCCGAACACUACUCCACAUCCAUAACCUAUCAACACCACUUUCCAACCAAAAGCAAUGUUUGAUUUUGAGCCAUCUUUUUCAAGCACAUUUAGAGGUGCUGGCUCAAUGAUGUUGCAACCUUUCGAGACCGGAAAUCCACAUAGUCCCUUAUUUCCUUCAUAUGAUUCAUUUCCAAAUGUGUUGAAUUGUUUUCCUUGAGGAAUCUGACCAUGGAGUUGAUUUUCAGAAAUAUUGAAGGACGAAAGAAAUGGCAGAUCUGCCAAUCUAUUUGGAAUCGUCCCAGACAACCUGUUUGAAGAUAGGUCCAACCAUUCAAGAUUUGUCAAAUUCCCUAUUGAAGUGGGGAUACCACCAUUAAGGUUAUUGUGAGAAAGGUUGAGCCCUUUCAGUAAGUUAAGCUUCCCAAUAACCUUUGGAAUCUCUCCUUCAAACUGAUUGUUUGAUAGAUCAAUGAUCAUCCACAUGGUGAAAAUUUUCACCAAUUCCAUAUAUUUUCCUUUCAUAAUAAUUCCAAUAGAAUAGGCAUAGAAGCCGCUAGUAUAAUCUCCCACACCCAUGUAUGGCCUUGCACUACCUUUUUUCUUGAGAUUUAUGAUAGCCUUGAAGCUGUUGAUGUAUCUCACUGGUAGGGGUCCAGAAAAAUAGUUACUUGAGAGGUCAAAAUUUUGGAUUUUAGAGAAGAAAGGGCUAGACUUGGGGCUAUUGACACGCAAAGAACCAUGCAUAUGAUUAGACUUCAAUACAAGAACUUGCAAAUAUGGAAGACUUCCCAACCAAUGAGGAAAUGUAUCAUUGAUCUUGUUGUUACCAAGAUCUAGCACUUCCAGACCUCUACAAUUAAGGAUGGAUGGUGUCAAUGGCCCUUCUAACAAAUUUCCAUUUAAGUUGAAAUUACUCAAUUGGCAUCCCUCUGCAAAUGUUGGAGGAAUCGUCCCAUAAAACUUGUUCUUCUUCAGAUUUAAGAAUUCAAGGCUGUUGCUCAAAUUUCCAAAACAUUGCGGAAUUGUUCCACUCAAGUUAUUGUGGGACAAAUCAAGAAUAAGAAGAGAAGUGACAUUGCAGAUUAAAGAAGAGACCUCUCCAUUGAAACUAUUAUUUGAGAUCAGAAAGACAUUGAUGGUCGAAGCUGGAAUCGGAAGAUUUCCACGGAUCAAAUUGGAGCUUAAGUCAAGAACUUCAAUAUUCUUCCAUGGAAAGUGCUCAACUUCUGUCAAAGAGUUGUGAGAUACGUUUAAGUAAGCCAAAGAGCCUUUCCCCACCUCUUGCAUCCACUGUGGAAUCUUGCCUUCAAUUUUGUUGCAAGAGAGGUCUAAGCGUUUCAAACUUUUAAGCCCUUCCAAAAAUUGGGGGAAUUCACUAAGAUUGCAAGAUGACAAACGUAAGUCCAUAAGAUUAGGCAAUAUAUGGUUAACACAAGAAGUAGUAUUAGAUGUUAAGGAUAGGCUAUUAUAUGAAAGGUCGAGAAGUUUUAGAGUUGGAAGGUUUGAGAACAUGCGAAACUCUAUGACACCACUAAGAUUAUUUGAGGAUAAAACGAGGCGGGUAAGAUUGAGAAGUUGGAAUAUAGAAGAUGGAAGAGGACCUUGGAGUUUAUUAUCGUUUAACCUUAUGAAUUCUAGUGAUUUGGAUUGGAAUUCUUUGAUAUGCCCACUGAAUUGAUUUUGAGAGAGAGAUAUUGUCUUUAAGGAGGGUGCAGUAUACAACCAUGACGGAAGUGUUCCGUUGAGUAAAUUGUCAAAUAAGUAUAAAUAUAUUAGAUUAGGAAAAGCGGUUACCUCAUCUGGAAUGGAACCUUCUAAAGAAUUAUUAUAUAUUCCCAAGUAUUCCAGCUGCGUUAGGUUUAGAAUUGAGAAUGGAAUUUGUCCACUCAAUUUGUUCCCGGACAAGUCUAAAUAAGUGAGUUGCAAGAGGUUCCCCAAUGAUCUUAGAAUUUGUCCACUCAGUUGGUUCCACGACAAGUCUAAAUGAGUGAGUUGCAAGAGGUUUCCCAAUGAUCUUGGAACCGUUUCUGAUAAGUUGGAAUUGGAGAGAUCUAAAAACUUCAAGGACACAAGAUUCCCCAUCGAGUCAGGCAAUCCUCCAAAAACAUUUGCUACUGAAAUUAUCAAUUGCUCCAAAGAUGAUAAAUUUGUGAUUGAGACAGACAAUCCUUGAAAGAAAGAAUUUUGUGAUAGAUCUAAGUACUUUAAGGCCGGUAGAUUGUCAACUGAAUCAAUGAAUUCUGUAGAGAAGGACAUGAAAGACAGAUCCAAAUGUUCAAGAUUGCUGCUCCGAUUCAACUUCAAAGGAUCAAGAUUGAGGUUUUGGUUGCCUCCCAAGUUGAGGAGAUUGAGGUUUGGCAAGUCAAAAAUGUUUUUUGGGAACUUUCCUUGCAAAUCACAAUAAGCAAGACUGAGAGACCUUAGAGAAGAGGAUAGAUUCAUGAAGACAUGAGCAUUAACAGAAGACAUGUCCAUUCCAUCCAAAAACAGAUGUCUGACCUCGGUUAGGUUGUGAACAAGUCCCUCCAGAGCAUGUUUGUCAAUUGUUUGCUCAUCAUCCCAAGAGGAGAGAUCAAGUGAAACCAAUUUUGACAGGCGGGAGACUUGGGAUGGGACUUCUCCUGCAAACCCUGUAUAAGAAAGGUUGAGGUAGAAUAGGCUUGUAAAGCGACCGAACUCGGAUGGAAUUUUGGAAAGAUUAAAAUCAUUGAAGGCAAGGUUGAGUUUUUGAAGGUGAGGAAGAAGGAAGAGAGUGGUAUUGGAAGGGAAGGUGCAAUAUAGCCAACUGCAGCUCAAGUCAAGGGCAAUAACAUGAGCAUUUAGGUGGUCACAAGUGACCCCAUCCCAUGAGCAGCAAUCUGUACCCUCCUUCCAUGAAUUUGUCUUGGGAUAAGAUUUAAGGCCAGCAAAAUCAUUGCAAUAAGAAGAAGCAUCCUCUAUUAUGGAAAAAGAGUUCUUGAACUGGAUUAAUGAAGAGCAGGAGUGAGAUCCUAAAGAAGAAAAAGAAGCAUAAAGAUGGGGAAAGAAGAGGAAGAGGCAGAGAAAGAGAUAGGAGGCCAUGUUAUGUUGGUAGAGGAAGAUGAAGGAUAGGAAUGGUAUUUAUAGGCAACAAAUAAUACCACAACAUUGGUGUUACAGUCUUUCUUUUCUUUUACAUUGAAAAGCUAUGGAUAUUAGAUUUUCAAAAUUUUUGUAUUUUUCACAAUCAUCAACAACCACUUAGUCCUUUUAUCAUAUAUUUUUCAUUCUUAAAAUUAGAUAUUAGAUUUUCAAAAUAUUUGUAUUUUUCAUUUGAACUCUCUAAACAACUCAAAAAAUUAAGAUUAACUUAGUCUUUUUUCUUAUAACACUUAAAGAAUGUGUGUAAUCUAUUCACAGGUUAACCAAAGCUAAGUAAUGUGGAAAUUCUUUUUCACACGAAAGAACAAAAUUGUGCUCUAUUCACUACGUUUGAGGAAGAAGACUGUUGGAAAUUUUAUUCACCGAUUCCAUAAAUUAAAACGUGUAUACUUAUAUAUAUAUAUUUAUAACCUCAUAAUUCAAAUCUAAAAUCUUAUUUGUUAUAAAUUCUAAUAAAUUUAUUUGGGAAUAGUUAUUUUUCAUUCGUUAAUUAUUUCUCUUUUAAUCAAGUAAAAAAUUAAAACUAAAAAGACAUAAUGAUUACUUUUACCCUUGAAACUUAUAUGGUUCGUUAAAUCACCCAUUGAUGACAUAUUAACCUUUGAGUUAAACUCAAAUUGCUCUUUCCUUUGUUAUAAAUUAAGAGUAUAACUAAUUUUGAUAAGAAUGGUUACUUUUCAUUAACACAGUUUAAAGGACCAUAACACGUAAACUUUGGUCUAUUGCAGAAUUCACAUGCAAUGCAGGACAUUUACAUUAUGCAGAAUUCAACACAUAUAUGGGAAUUUUUGUAUUUCCACAAUCAUCAUGUUUUUAGUGAUCAACAACUACUUCCUUUUUACCAUAUAUUUUUCAUUCAUAAAAUUGAUUACUUCUUUUUACCAAAGAAGUAAAAUAAUUAACAUUCCUGAGAUUACAAAGUCUUCUUCCUUAUAACACGUCAAAUUUGGUCCCAAAUAAAUUUCCACACAAAAUUAAGAAUACACAAAGGCAGGAUGAAUUAUUCCAUGUUUGAACAUCUGCAACAUAAAUGCAUAUGGCAAAAAGGCUCAAACCAUACCUUAAGUUCAUGAAUUCUCAUCAUCACAUGUUUAUAAAUGCAACUCAAACUUGAAUAAUUGAAUCUUUUGUAAUUCUACAUGUAUUUGUUUUUUUUUAUGGUGAGCAGUAUAAUGUUUACUAAAAAUUGAAAUUCAAGAAAGAAGACAUACAUAGUUGCACCAUUCAAGAUAAACUUACCUCGAGUAUUGAUACUCGGGUUGAAGUAUCGAUACCAAAUCUUUUUUAUCAUAUAUUUUUCAUUCACAAAAUUGGAUACAUUUUUUUACCAAAAUUUUGUAUUUCAUUUGAAUUCCCUAAACAACUGAGAAAAUUAAAAUUGAUGAGAUUAUAAAGUAGAUUGACUUAAUCUUCUUCCUUAUAAUACGUAAAGAAUGUGAGUGUCUAUUUACUUAGUAUGUAUGGCUGUCAAGCAAUGUAGAAAUUUGCACACAAAAGAACAAAUUUGUGGACUACUUAAAAAUUCAAAGCAUGUGUGGCCAAUAUUCAUUUAUUUUAUUGCAUAAAAUUCAAGGCAUGUGUGUUGAAUAAUUUUAUCCAAGAAGCAUAUUUUCCACAAAACUUUAAUCGGUUGGCAUUAAAUAUGUCAUUUUCUAUUAACUGCAAGAAAACUAUCCGGUAAACUACAUCUUCUUCUUUUAGAUAAAAUUUUGUAAAAAAAAAUUUGACAUUAUCACUUAUAUAGUUAUAUGGUCCUUCAAUUUUAUUUUUUUUAAAAAAAAAAGUAAUUUUAACUCUCCAUUUAAUAUUUCACCUCUUUGAGUUUUUAAAUUUGUGUUAUUUAUCAAAUCAUCCCAGAAUGUAUGAAAAAGUUAACAUUUGUUAACUUUAUUGACGGAACAUACAUAUCGAUAUCAUAUAAACAAUUAAUUGAUUUUUAAAUUUUAAAAAUUUUAAAAAUAAAACAUAUAUUAAAAUUUCUAAGAAAUGAGAAAAUUUGGAAGCAUUGCAAAAGAAUGUGCAAUAAUUCCAAACAAAUUAACGCAACAUUUUAGUUACCACUUAUAUAGUCCUUCAAUUUUAUUUAAAAAAAAUUAUUUUAACUCUGCAUUUAAUUUUUCGCCUCUUUAAACUUUUAAUUUGUGUUAUUUAUCAAAUCUUCCAAACAAAUUAACGCCGUAAUAACCCAUUUUUCCCGGCCCAUAAUUAACCAAAUUAAAAAAAACGAAAUAUAAAAUUUUAAUAACAGUCCACUACAAACACAAUAAGUAGCAGGCCCAAAACCCAAAUGCACUACCUAAUUACAAACCCAACUAAACCCUAACCCAAUACAAACCCCAAAAGCCCAGCUUGCAGCCCACAACACUAAAAACAAUAGAAACCCUAGCAACAGUUUCAGCCGCCGCAACAGUGGCCCCAGCGCUGCAGACUGUCCUCCGCGCGUGUCAAGCCUCCGCGCGCGUGCGCCUCCAAGCUAGCAUGUACCUGCAACGAACAAUAAACAGCAAGCAGCAAGAGAGGCAAAAUAACAGAUUGAUAGCUAAAAAAUAAAGAGUUUUUUUGUAUUUUUUCUUUUUUUCAUUUUUCGGUUAUAUAAAGCCACUUGUGAUACUGUAAAAGGGAUUACGCAUUCGAAAGAAAAAAAAAAGAAUCAAAUAGCAGCAUAAUUUUAAGGUGGUUUCCGAUUUCUACUUCUUUUUUUUUCUUUUUCCUUUGAUUUGUUUUUAUUUGUUGAUUAAAAGAUAAAAAAAAGGGAAGUUCUUACCUACAUAUUGCGCCGCCAGGAGCCUUCGUCCCUUCUGUUUCAAAUCGAAAUGGGGUGGGCAAUGGUCGAAUCAAAAGCGGCGCACAUAGGAUAGAUUUUAGGGUUGGUUAGAUUUUUUUUUUUUAGAAAUGGAGUGUCUGCUAAUGUUAACUUAUAUAUAGCGUAUGAAACGACGACAUUUGAUGCCAUUUUAGUGGUUUCAAAAUGGCGUCGUAUAGGGCCGAGAUCCGUGCGGUGACCCGACCCGGGGAGGAUCCGCGUGUUUUCACUUUGGUGGGAUAUUUGUGCGCUAGGUUCUCUACCUUUGCACUUUGUUUUAAUUCGGUUUAUUUUGAUUCUUCAAAUUGGGCUGCAUAAUUUCCUGCUGACUACAUUUUAGUCCAUUUGCAGCGGUGCGUUUUGGUGGGCAAGGAAUAUUUCCUAUUUUAGUCCCCAUGUUAUUCGCGGUUUGUAAUUUGGUCCUUUCCUUUUAUAUAUAUAAUAAUUUUAUAUAAUACUAUUUUAUAUAUAUAUAAUUUGUAUUAAGUUUUUUAUAUAUCAUCGAUUUCAUAUUUACGUAUUUUUCUACUUAUUUCAUAUAUAAUCUGUUUCAUUUAAAACUUUACUUUAUUAUAUACUUGAUUUAUAUCAACCUUUUAUACAUACUAUUAUACGUAUACGUAUAUUGUUUAUUUUAAAUUAAUAUGUAUAUAUUAUUUCAUGUAUUUCGGUUUUCUUCAUAUACAAUAUUCACUUUAAAAUUCAUUUUAAUAUUAUUUUUUUCGUAGUAUUUAUUUUUUAUCUUCAUUUUUGACUUAUUUCAAACUCAUAUAUGUAUAUCUAUUAUCUUUGCUAAUGUGCAUACAUAUGCAACUUCAUUUAAAUAUAAAAAAUCUAAAAAUAAUUAAAUAUGUAUAAAUCUAAAAAUAUCUUAAAAUUAAAACUAAAAAAUUUUAAACUAAUGCAAAUUUUUAUUAUUUAAAAAAUCUUAAAAUUUUCAAAUUAAAUUCCAUUUGUUUUCCACCGUUGAAGAACACCUUCAAUCACAUUAACAACUUCAUGCUAUUUUGCCUAGAAAUUAUUUUGCAAAUUUAUUUUGUUUUAUUUAUUUCUAAAUCCAUAUUUCUUUUCUGUAACUCCAAUUAUUAGAUUGUUUAGGGUUUUGAGUAACUUUCGAUUUUGGAAUUUUAGAUUUUUAAAUUUAAAUACGAAGUGCUCUUCUUCUUCUCCAAACCCACAAAUUUUCUACCAAAUUUCAACUCAAGGUUUUACUUUCAGCUAUAAAUAAAACAUAUAUUAUAUUUAUAAUGACCUAAGAAUAGUAGAGUCGACGCCGAUCUACAUGAAAAAGGAGGGAAAAAAACAGGCAAAGAAAGAUGAUAUGAAGAGAGCAUAAAUCAAUAAAGCAAAUGAAAAACGAGUAGAAUUAAAGUAAAUGGGUAUUUAAUAUUUUUUUGUGAAAGUUCAAAGACUAAUUAUGUAUGAGCUUGGAUGUGGAAAAAUUAGUUGGAAAUUUUUUUUCUUGCACCAAUUGAUUUUUUUUAUAUAGAAUUUGUAUUUAUUUUUUAAGAUUUUUAAAUUUUGUUACAAUUAUUUUUAUGAAAAUUUGAAAAUAUAAAAAUACUUUUUGAACUAUAAUUCAAGGAUUAAAUUAGCUAUUAAUCAUUUGAAUAAAUAAAACAUAUACAUGAAUUAAGUAAUUAAUCCACAAGCAAUGUUGGACAUUUUCAUAAUGCCAAAUUUCACUUCAGAUUUAGUUACCCAUAAUCAUAUUUAAACAAACAAAAACAUAACAAUCACACAAAAUAGGCAUAACUAGAAAACAUGAGAAAAAUGAGAAAAGCUUGAAAACAAUUACAAUGGUAGCAAAGGAAAUGUAAAAAAAAAAACUUAAAAAUCAGAUUUUUAAUGAUGAAGGGAAUUGAUCAUUUAUAUUAAAACCAAGGAUUAAACUGAAAAUACAAAGAGUUGAAGGUACUAAACUAGCAAACAAACCCUAGCUGCAAUGUUAAUUAACUUAACUAACUACUAUUGGAACCAAGAAAAACUAAAAGAAAACAUGAAUUACACCCUAGAGUUAUGGAGAAGAAAACAAAAACUCUAAAAAUAAAGAGGAAAUUUGAAAACCAUGAAAUGUUAAGUGUGCCUUUUGUUCAGCCAAUUUUUUGCCCUUUCUAGAAUUACAGAUCCAAAAAUAGUGGCCAAAUUGUCCUUGAUCGUUUAAUUUUGGUUAGGGGACAUGUUGGAAACGGAUUACCCAUACGGUUAUAUUUUGUCUCCUCUCAUCAAUGAUAUUGCCAUACCCAAAGUUUGGUAUCGCGAUAUCCACAACAAUCUUGGGGAUCCUUAGGAGUUUUGAGUAUCGCGAUACCUUAUGACUGGUAUCAUGAUAGCACUGUUGAUGGCUCAAUCUUCCUUGUUUUUAACAUUGUUAUGGGUGUUACGACUUUCAAUCUUCCUUAUUUUUAACAUUGUUAUGCAAUACCCUCUUUCUAGGUGACAUUUUCGCUCCUUCCGGGUCACCAUGGGCUCUCUGCAUCACUCACCAAUCACAUUAGAUUCCCCGGGUGCCAUUUGACCAUCUCAGGUCUCAAAAUAGCAUCAAAAUGCACACUAAUCAUUUAUUAAUAUAAAUAACUAAAACUAAAUAAAAACACAACAAAGAUAUCUAAAUUGCUCGAAAAUAAGCUUUUAAGUGUGAUGGAGAGCCUAAUUUGACAUAUCAAUUUACAGCAUGUCAUAAAUAUAAUUUGCGGAACCUUGUUAAAAUUUUGGGUUUCUUUAUUAGUUUUCUUUCAAUAUUCUGUAUGGUACAUUUGUAUUAAUAUAUUGUGCAGAUCAUAGACUAAAUUGCUUUAUUAGUUUUCUAUUGUUAAUCUCACUUUUUAUUAAUUAAGGAAUACGAAUUAGAAUUAAUAUGAAAUUACUAUUUCAACAUUUCAUAAGAAAAAGCUAAAAUAAUAUUUGUCAUAUCCCAUAUGCUCAUAUAUAGCUUGUCGAAACCAUUUUCUUGUAAAAGGGGGGUUGACUUUGGUUUUAAAACGAAAAUUGGAGUCGUCACCGAUUAUUUUUAUGAGGUGUAAUCGGGUCACCUCGUAACGGUUUAAUUUAUAACAAUUUUGGUCUACGAAAUUUAGAAGAAAAAAAGGGGUUCGGGAGUCGGUUACGUACGAGGAAGGAUUAGCACCCUCAUAAUGUCCAAAAUUGGUACCUAAUUGAUUACUUAAUGUCUUAAUGUCGAAAAUUAAAAAUUCGAAAAGAAUUUAAAAUAAGAUCCCUGUUUAUUAAUGUUAUUUAUUUUAAAAGAAUUUGCUUGAAUAAGUUGCAAUGAAUGUCAAAGACCCUCCCGUCUCGAGAUAACUAGUGUCACGUCCCGUAAGUGAGGAUACGACGCUUGGAAACCUAGAGAAUAAGCCUGGCUUUAACUCUUACUGAGAUUUCGUGUGUUUUGAAAUUUAAAAGGAUAUUUUGUUAUUUAGGUUUAACGAGAAAAUCGAAACCUCGUAAGUUAGGGUACGAUUUUUCUCGAAUUUUCAAAACGCAAAAUUUUUUUUUUGAAUUUAAGUAAAAACUAAUGUAAUAUGUAAUAAGAUAUGUGUUUAAUUUAUUCAAACAUCGCCUGAAAGUGAACAAAUAAUUUUAAAAAAAAUGAUGUAUAAUGCAACAUAUUAACUACUACAACGAAAGUGAAAUGCAAUGAAAGUCAUGAAAUCGAAAGAUUAUCGAGACUAAAUUGAAAGUCAUGAAAGAAGACAUAAACAACACCACCAUACAAAAUGUUACACUCAAACAAACCAUUACAGAUAGUACGAAAUGAAAUGGAAAGACACAGGAAUUGGCACAAUAAUAAAGACAGACACAUACAAAUGCAAACCAUAGGCAAAACGGUCUACAGAACAAGAAAUUGUGAAAAUACAACACUAAUUCUUGAACAGCAUUUGCAGUAAUUAGAUCCUUCUUCGCCUAUUGCUUCGAUUGCCUUUAUUUGACUUUCUUCUUCGCCUCUUCUCUUGUUGGUUUUCAACCAAAUUCACCAACCAUUUUGGCUUUCCAGUUUGGAAAACAACAAAUCCCACGGACAUUCCGAACACCACUCCGCAUCCAUAGCCUAUCAACCCCACUUUCCAACCAAAAGCAAUGUUUGAUUUUGAGCCAUCUUUUUCAAGCACAUUUGGAGGUGCUGGCUUAAUGAUGUUGCAACCUUUAGAGACCGGAAAUCCACAUAGUCCCUUAUUUCCUUCAUAUGAAUCAUUUCCAAAUGUGUUGAACUGUUUGCCUUGAGGAAUCUGACCAUGGAGUUGAUUUUCAGAAACAUUGAAGGACGAAAGAAAUGGCAGAUCUACCAAUCUAUUUGGAAUCCUCCCAGACAAACUGUUUGAAGAUAGGUCCAACCAUUCAAGACUUGUCAAAUUCCCUAUUGAGGUGGGGAUACCACCAUUAAGGUUAUUAUGAGAAAGGUUGAGCCCUUUCAGUAAGUUAAGCUUCCCAAAAACCUCUGGAAUACACCCUUCAAACUGAUUGUUUGAUAGAUCAAUGAUCAUCCACAUGGUGAAAAUUUUCACCAAUUCCAUAUAUUGUCCUUUCAUAACAAUUCCGAUGGAAUAGGUAUAGAAGCCGCGACCUCCAGGAUCAUUCACCCCCAUGUACGACUCUAUAAUACCAAUCUUCUCUAGAUUUAUGAUAGCCUUGAAGCUGUUGAUGUAUCUCACUGGUAGGGGUCCAGAAAAAUAAUUACUUGAGAGGUCAAAAAUUUGGACUUUAGAGAAAAAAGGGCUAGACUUGGAGCUAUUGACACAUAAGGAACCACGCAUAUGAUUUGACUUCAAUACAAGAACUUGUAGCUGUGGAAGACUUCCCAACCAAUGAGGAAAUGUAUCAUUGAUCUUGUUGUUACCAAGAUCUAGCACUUCCAGACCAUUACAAUUAAGGAUGGAUGGUGUCAAAGGCCCUUCUAACAGAUUUCCAUUUAAGUUGAAAUUACUCAAUCGGCAUCCCUUUGCAAAUGUUGGAGGAAUCGUCCCAUAGAACUUGUUCUUCUUCAAAUUCAAGAAUUCGAGGCUGUUGCUCAAAUUUCCAAAACAUUGCGGAAUUGUUCCACUCAAGUUAUUGUGGGACAAAUCAAGAAUUCGAAGAGAAGUGACAUUGCAGAUUACAGAAGAGACCUCUCCAUUGAAACUAUUAUUUGAGAUCAGAAAGACAUCGAUCGUGGAAGCUGGAAUCGGAAGAUUUCCACGGAUCAAAUUGGAGCUUAAGUCAAGAACUGCAAUAUUCUUCCACGGGAAGUGCUCAACUUCUGUCAAAGAGUUGUGAGAUACAUUUAAGUAAGUCAAAGAGCCAUUCCCCACCUCUUGCAUCCACUGUGGAAUCUUGCCUUCAAUUUUGUUGCAAGAGAGGUCUAAGCUUUCCAAACUUUUAAGCCCUUUCAAAAAUUGGGGGAAUUCACUAAGAUUGCAAGAUGACAAAAAUAACCUUGUAAGAUUAAUAGUAGAAGUAGUGUUAGAUGUUAAGGAUAGGCUGUUAUAUGAAAGGUCGAGAUAUUUGAGAUUUGGAAGGUUUGAGAACAUGCUAAACUCUAUGACACCACUAAGAGUAUUUGAGGAUAAGCUGAGGCCGGUAAGAUUGAGAAGUUGGGAUAUUGAAGAUGGAAGAGGACCUUGGAGUUUAUUAUUCUCUAAGCGUAUCAAUUCUAGUGAUUUGGAUUGAAAUUCUUUGAUAUGCCCACUGAAUUGAUUUUGAGAGAGAUCUAUUGUCUUUAAGGAGGGAGCAGCAUAUAACCAUGACGGAAGUGUUCCAUUGAGUAAAUUGUCAGAUAAGGCUAAAGAUAUUAGAUUAGGAAAAGCGGUUACGUCAUCUGGAAUGGAACCUUCUAAACAAUUAUUAGAUAUUUCCAAGUAUUCCAGCUGCGUUAGGUUUAGAAUUGACAAUGGAAUUUGUCCACUCAAUUUGUUCCCUGACAAGUCUAAAUAAGUGAGUUGCAAGAGGUUCCCCAAUGAUAUUGGAACCGGUCCUGAUAAGUCGGAAAAGGAGAGAUCUAAAAACUUCAAGGACACAAGAUUCCCCAUCAAGUCAGGCAAUCCUCCAAAAUCAUUUGCGCCUGAAAUUAUCAAUUGCUCCAAAGAUGAUAAAUUUGUGAUUGAGACAGACAAUCCUUGAAAGAAAAAAUUUCCUGAUAGAUCUAAGUACUUUAAGGCCUGUAGAUUAUCAACUGAAUCAAUGAAUUCUGUAGUGGGGGACAUCCACGACAGAUCCAAAUGUUCAAGAUUGUUGCUCCGAUUCAACUUCAAAGGAUCAAGAUUGAGGACUGGGUUGCCUCCCAAGUUGAGGAGAUUGAGGUUUGGCAAUUCAAAAAUGUUUUUUGGGAAUUUUCCUUGCAAAUCACAAUAAGCAAGACUGAGAGACCUUAGAGAAGAGGAUAGAUUCAUGAAGACAUGAGCAUUAACAGAAGACAUGUCCAUUCCAUCCAAAAACAGAUGUCUGACCUCGGAUAGGUUGUGAACAAGUCCCUUCAGAUCAUGUUUGUCAAUUGUAAAUUGCUCAUGGACAUAAAUCAAAGCGGAGAGAUCAAGUGAAACCAAUUUUGACAGGCGGGAGACUUGGGAUGGGACUUCUCCUGCAAACCCUGUACGAGAAAGGUUGAGGUAUAAUAGGCUUGUAAACCGACCGAACUCGGAUGGAAUUCUGGAAAGAUUAAAAUCAUUGUAGGCAAGGUUGAGUUUUUGAAGGUGAGGAAGAAGAAAGAGAGUGGUAUUGGAAGGGAAGUUGCCAUAUAGCCAACUGCAGCUCAAGUCAAGGGCAAUAACAUGAGCAUUUAGGUGGUCACAAGUGACCCCAUCCCAUGAGCAGCAAUCUGUACCCUCCUUCCAUGAAUUUGUCUUGGGAUAAGAUUUAAGGCCAGCAAUCUCAUCG